rnacentral:rRNA from 2 species
CAACGAGCGCAACCCUUAUCCUUUGUUGCCAGCGGUCCGGCCGGGAACUCAAAGGAGACUGCCAGUGAUAAACUGGAGGAAGGUGGGGAUGACGUCAAGUCAUCAUGGCCCUUACGACCAGGGCUACACACGUGCUACAAUGGCGCAUACAAAGAGAAGCGACCUCGCGAGAGCAAGCGGACCUCAUAAAGUGCGUCGUAGUCCGGAUUGGAGUCUGCAACUCGACUCCAUGAAGUCGGAAUCGCUAGUAAUCGUGGAUCAGAAUGCCACGGUGAAUACGUUCCCGGGCCUUGUACACACCGCCCGUCACACCAUGGGAGUGGGUUGCAAAAGAAGUAGGUAGCUUAACCUUCGGGAGGGCGCUUACCACUUUGUGAUUCAUGACUGGGGUGAAGUCGUAACAAGGUAACCGUAGGGGAACCUGCGGUUGGAUCACCUCCUUACCUUAAAGAAGC